UCCCUGACGGUCCAGUGGUUAGGACUCUGUGCUUUUACUGCCGAGGGCCCAGGUUCAAUCCCUGGUGGGGGAA